rnacentral:rRNA from 1 species
CAGCACCUCAAGUGGUCAGGAUGAUUAUUGGGCCUAAAGCAUCCGUAGCCGGCGCUGUAAGUUUUCGGUUAAAUCUGUACACUCAACGUACAGGCGGCCGGGAAUACUGCAGCGCUAGGGAGUGGGAGAGGUAGACGGUACUCGGUAGGAAGGGGUAAAAUCCUUUGAUCUAUUGAUGACCACCUGUGGCGAAGGCGGUCUACCAGAACACGUCCGACGGUGAGGGAUGAAAGCUGGGGGAGCAAACCGGAUUAGAUACCCGAGUAGUCC